rnacentral:pre_miRNA from 10 species
GCUGAUGGGGAGAUACCUGACUUUAUAGCACCUGCAUUGUACACACUGUGUGUAUUGACUGGAAAUGCACAGCGCAUACAAUGUGGAUUCUGUAGAAGUCACUCACGGCACCGCCGCCC